AACGUAGGAGGCGAGCGUUAUCCGGAUUCACUGGGCGUAAAGCGCGUGUAGGCGGUUCGUUAAGUCGAAUGUGAAAGCCCCUGGCUCAACUGGGGGAGGCCAUUCGAAACUGGCGGACUUGAGGGUAGGAGAGGAGAGUGGAACUCCCGGUGUAGCGGUGGAAUGCGUAGAGAUCGGGAAGAACACCAGUGGCGAAGGCGACUCUCUGGUCUACCCCUGACGCUGAGACGCGAAAGCGUGGGGAGCAAACGGG
rnacentral:rRNA from 2 species